GACGAACGCUGGCGGCGUGCUUAACACAUGCAAGUCGAGCGGAAAGGCCCUUCGGGGUACUCGAGCGGCGAACGGGUGAGUAACACGUGAGUAACCUGCCCCAGACUUUGGGAUAACCCUCGGAAACGGGGGCUAAUACCGGAUACGACACAGCUUCGCAUGGGGUCUGUGUGGAAAGUUUUUCGGUUUGGGAUGGGCUCGCGGCCUAUCAGCUUGUUGGUGGGGUGAUGGCCUACCAAGGCGACGACGGGUAGCCGGCCUGAGAGGGCGACCGGCCACACUGGGACUGAGACACGGCCCAGACUCCUACGGGAGGCAGCAGUGGGAAUAUUGCACAAUGGGCGGAAGCCUGAUGCAGCGACGCCGCGUGAGGGAUGACGGCCUUCGGGUUGUAAACCUCUUUCAGCAGGGACGAAGCGUAAGUGACGGUACCUGCAGAAGAAGCGCCGGCCAACUACGUG
rnacentral:rRNA from 1 species